UACGGAGGGUGCAAGCGUUAUCCGGAUUCACUGGGUUUAAAGGGAGCGUAGGUGGGUUGGUAAGUCAGUGGUGAAAUCCCCGAGCUUAACUUGGGAACUGCCAUUGAUACUAUCAGUCUUGAAUACUGUGGAGGUUAGCGGAAUAUGUCAUGUAGCGGUGAAAUGCUUAGAUAUGACAUAGAACACCAAUUGCGAAGGCAGCUGGCUACACAAAUAUUGACACUGAGGCUCGAAAGCGUGGGUAGCGAACAGG
rnacentral:rRNA from 1 species